rnacentral:lncRNA from 11 species
CUCUGUCAAAUGAGCUCAUGAAUGAAGCAAGGGAAACGUGUGUGUUUAUGCUGCUAUUUAGAAUGAACGCAUUGGAUUUAAAAGACCACGGCACCAACAAAAUGUAGCUACAUCUUCCCCCUCUUUCCCCCUACUAGACCCAGCAUGAAUACUGAGAUGGGUGUCAGCUGGAGUGGGCUGGGUCACGGAGGGGUGGGGUGGGGCAGCGAUGGCCUGAUAGCUCACAGCAGCUGCAGGGCUGUCUGUGCAGAGCGAGUGAGGCUCUAUUCUCUUUCUGUCUGCCUAGCUGUCAAGUCGCAACCCAGUCUUUCUGAUUUGCAACCAUCUCGUUCCCAUAGGGCAGAAUUUGCUGCCGCCGCUCCUGUGUCCUCUUCCUCCUGCUCUUCCACUUCUCCCCAAGUAAUUAGUUUUCUUCCUGCUGUCUUGGGCUUCCGCCUUUUUGUUUCCACUUGCCGUAGGAAGAGGGACAUGGUCUUGUAAGGCCAGUGGUUGUGUUUUUCUUGAGUGUGUGUGUGUAUAUAAAGAUACCUGACGUGCCUGGACUUGGAAACCAACCUUUUGCCCAAUGAUAUGUGAGACCGAGAAACUUGAACGAGAGCAACUUUUUCAAUAGUGGGAAGAACAAAAUACAAGCAAGUAGACUUCCUGCUGAAGUUUGAAGUGCAGUUAAGGAAGAAACUGUGUUUUUCUGUUCAAAGAGCCUGGAUGGAACCGAACCAACCUGGCACCAGGAACUGAGAUUCAGCUUGAAAGCCUUUCUCUUGCAGCAAUCAAAGUUUGUUCCGAUCUUUCAUCUUUGCUGUCUCUGUGCCAGGAAUUUUCUCUCUGGAGAGUGGAAUGGUGGAAGAAGGUACAAGCCGGGGGGAUCGGGCUCCCCGUGGUGGCGGGCCACGGGGAUCCCCACGCCCUCCAGCCCCGCCGCACCAUGGUAUCUCAGUGGUGGGCAAAGCUGUGUGGAGUGUGGCACGGACAGGGAAAGGCUGGUGCUUUGAGCGAGCGGUUGGGGUGGACUGCAGCUUGCCUGAACCUCGUUGUAUCUGGUUGACGAGUUUGAGAAAUGACAAUGUGGAGUGGUGGGAAAGACGGUGGCGCCGUGCUGGGGCUGUGAUGGCCCGGCAGAAGUGCCGUGCACGACACAGGAUGGACAGAAAUUUUACGCCAAAGCUGGGCCAGAGAGAUGGUACGGCCACAAACGCCAAUGCCCCACCUGCGGAGUCCUUUCCCUGGGUGGGGCCUAAAACAGUGGUGCUGCACAAGAACUCACAGGGGGGUUACGGCUUCACCCUCCGGCACUUCAUUGUCUACCCCCCAGAGUCAGCGGUUCAUUCCAACGUGAAGGUAAUGUCUUUUUAGAUUUGCGGAGUGAGUCUGUGUAUUCUAUAAUAUUCCAAGGCAUUGCC